rnacentral:pre_miRNA from 1 species
UCUUCAUUCUUCGCACUCUCUCACCGGUCAGAGAUGCGAGAGAGUGUGUGAAAUGAAGAAA